GGUGUAUAGACGCCAGUAGGUGGAUUGCUAGGCUUGAGGAGAGAUGAAGGACGUGGCAAGCUGCGAUAAGCCCGGGGUAGGCGCACGCGACCUAUGAUCCCGGGAUGUCCGAAUGAGAAUCUUGUGUUUACACACUCCGUUACAAUGGUGACGGAGAUCGAACCGUCGGAAUUGAAGCAUCUUAGUACGACGAGGAAAAGAAAUCAAUUGAGAUUUCCCAAGUAGCGGCGAGCGAAAAGGAAACAGCCCAAACUGAAUCUGUUAUGGUAACAUAACAGAGAUGUGGUGUUUUGGUUAUGGUAUUACGAUCCUAGAACACAACCGAAAUGUUCUGGAACGUACUGGCAAAGUGGGUGAUACCCCCGUAAGUUAAAUGGUAUAGGAUCUUACCAUAACCCGAGUAGCUGUCCUUGGCAGUGGGCAGUGAAUAUAGGUGAAAGUAGUAUCUGAGGCUAAAUAUUUCUCAAGACCGAUAGUGUACUAGUACCGUGAGGGAAAACUGAAAAGUACCCCGGAAGGGGGCUGAAAAGUGCAUGAAACCUACUGGUUACAGACGUGCAUGGCAUGAAAGGUGAUUUUUCCAUACCGGAGGUUCUAGCAAUAGAGCUAAAAGUGUGGAGGUCAAAUCAUCAGUGUCAUGCGUUCCGUCUCGAAACACGGGCCAGGGAGCUUACUGUCAUGGCAAGCCUAAGCCCUUAAAGGUGAAGGCGAAGGGAAACCGAAUUCUCGCAGCUUAUGUGAGGAGAAGCGUGUGAAAGUGCGUUAAGUCAUGGCGGCAAGGCUAGAAUCCAGUCGAUCUAUUCCUGAGCAAGCUGAAGGCGGGCGAAAGC
rnacentral:rRNA from 1 species